UACGUAGGGCGCAAGCGUUAUCCGGCAUUAUUGGGCGUAAAGAGCUCGUAGGCGGUUUGUCACGUCUGCUGUGAAAUCCCGAGGCUCAACCUCGGGCCUGCAGUGGGUACGGGCAGACUGGAGUGCGGUAGGGGAGAAUGGAAUUCCUGGUGUAGCGGUGGAAUGCGCAGAUAUCAGGAGGAACACCGAUGGCGAAGGCAGUUCUCUGGGCCGUAACUGACGCUGAGGAGCGAAAGCGUGGGGAGCGAACAGG
rnacentral:rRNA from 1 species